rnacentral:rRNA from 1 species
AGCGAACGCUGGCGGCAGGCCUAACACAUGCAAGUCGAACGAAGUCUUCGGACUUAGUGGCGGACGGGUGAGUAACACGUGGGAACGUACCUAUUGGUUCGGAACAACUCAGGGAAACUUGAGCUAAUACCGAAUGUGCCCUUCGGGGAAAGAUUUAUCGCCAUUAGAGCGGCCCGCGUUAGAUUAGCUAGUUGAUGGGG